rnacentral:rRNA from 1 species
GGGUUGUGAGGUUAAGCGACUAAGCGUACACGGUGGAUGCCCUGGCAGUCAGAGGCGAUGAAGGACGUGCUAAUCUGCGAUAAGCGUCGGUAAGGUGAUAUGAACCGUUAUAACCGGCGAUUUCCGAAUGGGGAAACCCAGUGUGAUUCGUCACACUAUCAUUAACUGAAUCCAUAGGUUAAUGAGGCGAACCGGGGGAACUGAAACAUCUAAGUACCCCGAGGAAAAGAAAUCAACCGAGAUUCCCCCAGUAGCGGCGAGCGAACGGGGAGGAGCCCAGAGCCUGAAUCAGUGUGUGUGUUAGUGGAAGCGUCUGGAAAGGCGCGCGAUACAGGGUGACAGCCCCGUACACAAAAAUGCACAUGCUGUGAGCUCGAUGAGUAGGGCGGGACACGUGGUAUCCUGUCUGAAUAUGGGGGGACCAUCCUCCAAGGCUAAAUACUCCUGACUGACCGAUAGUGAACCAGUACCGUGAGGGAAAGGCGAAAAGAACCCCGGCGAGGGGAGUGAAAAAGAACCUGAAACCGUGUACGUACAAGCAGUGGGAGCACAGAGCAAUCUGUGUGACUGCGUACCUUUUGUAUAAUGGGUCAGCGACUUAUAUUCUGUAGCAAGGUUAACCGAAUAGGGGAGCCGAAGGGAAACCGAGUCUUAACUGGGCGUUAAGUUGCAGGGUAUAGACCCGAAACCCGGUGAUCUAGCCAUGGGCAGGUUGAAGGUUGGGUAACACUAACUGGAGGACCGAACCGACUAAUGUUGAAAAAUUAGCGGAUGACUUGUGGCUGGGGGUGAAAGGCCAAUCAAACCGGGAGAUAGCUGGUUCUCCCCGAAAGCUAUUUAGGUAGCGCCUCGUGAAUUCAUCUCCGGGGGUAGAGCACUGUUUCGGCAAGGGGGUCAUCCCGACUUACCAACCCGAUGCAAACUGCGAAUACCGGAGAAUGUUAUCACGGGAGACACACGGCGGGUGCUAACGUCCGUCGUGAAGAGGGAAACAACCCAGACCGCCAGCUAAGGUCCCAAAGUCAUGGUUAAGUGGGAAACGAUGUGGGAAGGCCCAGACAGCCAGGAUGUUGGCUUAGAAGCAGCCAUCAUUUAAAGAAAGCGUAAUAGCUCACUGGUCGAGUCGGCCUGCGCGGAAGAUGUAACGGGGCUAAACCAUGCACCGAAGCUGCGGCAGCGACGCUUAUGCGUUGUUGGGUAGGGGAGCGUUCUGUAAGCCUGCGAAGGUGUGCUGUGAGGCAUGCUGGAGGUAUCAGAAGUGCGAAUGCUGACAUAAGUAACGAUAAAGCGGGUGAAAAGCCCGCUCGCCGGAAGACCAAGGGUUCCUGUCCAACGUUAAUCGGGGCAGGGUGAGUCGACCCCUAAGGCGAGGCCGAAAGGCGUAGUCGAUGGGAAACAGGUUAAUAUUCCUGUACUUGGUGUUACUGCGAAGGGGGGACGGAGAAGGCUAUGUUGGCCGGGCGACGGUUGUCCCGGUUUAAGCGUGUAGGCUGGUUUUCCAGGCAAAUCCGGAAAAUCAAGGCUGAGGCGUGAUGACGAGGCACUACGGUGCUGAAGCAACAAAUGCCCUGCUUCCAGGAAAAGCCUCUAAGCAUCAGGUAACAUCAAAUCGUACCCCAAACCGACACAGGUGGUCAGGUAGAGAAUACCAAGGCGCUUGAGAGAACUCGGGUGAAGGAACUAGGCAAAAUGGUGCCGUAACUUCGGGAGAAGGCACGCUGAUAUGUAGGUGAAGUCCCUCGCGGAUGGAGCUGAAAUCAGUCGAAGAUACCAGCUGGCUGCAACUGUUUAUUAAAAACACAGCACUGUGCAAACACGAAAGUGGACGUAUACGGUGUGACGCCUGCCCGGUGCCGGAAGGUUAAUUGAUGGGGUUAGCGCAAGCGAAGCUCUUGAUCGAAGCCCCGGUAAACGGCGGCCGUAACUAUAACGGUCCUAAGGUAGCGAAAUUCCUUGUCGGGUAAGUUCCGACCUGCACGAAUGGCGUAAUGAUGGCCAGGCUGUCUCCACCCGAGACUCAGUGAAAUUGAACUCGCUGUGAAGAUGCAGUGUACCCGCGGCAAGACGGAAAGACCCCGUGAACCUUUACUAUAGCUUGACACUGAACAUUGAGCCUUGAUGUGUAGGAUAGGUGGGAGGCUUUGAAGUGUGGACGCCAGUCUGCAUGGAGCCGACCUUGAAAUACCACCCUUUAAUGUUUGAUGUUCUAACGUUGACCCGUAAUCCGGGUUGCGGACAGUGUCUGGUGGGUAGUUUGACUGGGGCGGUCUCCUCCUAAAGAGUAACGGAGGAGCACGAAGGUUGGCUAAUCCUGGUCGGACAUCAGGAGGUUAGUGCAAUGGCAUAAGCCAGCUUGACUGCGAGCGUGACGGCGCGAGCAGGUGCGAAAGCAGGUCAUAGUGAUCCGGUGGUUCUGAAUGGAAGGGCCAUCGCUCAACGGAUAAAAGGUACUCCGGGGAUAACAGGCUGAUACCGCCCAAGAGUUCAUAUCGACGGCGGUGUUUGGCACCUCGAUGUCGGCUCAUCACAUCCUGGGGCUGAAGUAGGUCCCAAGGGUAUGGCUGUUCGCCAUUUAAAGUGGUACGCGAGCUGGGUUUAGAACGUCGUGAGACAGUUCGGUCCCUAUCUGCCGUGGGCGCUGGAGAAUUGAGGGGGGCUGCUCCUAGUACGAGAGGACCGGAGUGGACGCAUCACUGGUGUUCGGGUUGUCAUGCCAAUGGCACUGCCCGGUAGCUAAAUGCGGAAGAGAUAAGUGCUGAAAGCAUCUAAGCACGAAACUUGCCCCGAGAUGAGUUCUCCCUGACUCCUUGAGAGUCCUGAAGGAACGUUGAAGACGACGACGUUGAUAGGCCGGGUGUGUAAGCGCAGCGAUGCGUUGAGCUAACCGGUACUAAUGAACCGUGAGGCUUAACCUUACAACGCCGAAG